CAUAACAUAUUUUAUUCAUACUGUUUAUUUUAAUUUUUUUUUAUUUUAAGACUGUGAAUUCCUAUAGACCCUCCCCUCCCCCUAAAAAAAGGGAAGACAACUCAGUGCUCAGUUUUGGAAACAGAUGCUUCCUAUGUUCCUCUGUAUGCUUGUACAGCUGUUUCGAGCUAACUAGGUUUUUAGAGGCUCUAAUUUAAGUUAAUUUUGCCUAUCUGGUCAACCCUAGCCCCCCUCCGGAAUUCGGUGGGUAGCCUAGCAGAGAAAACGGCAGGUGAAAAGGCUGCACACCGUGGCAGUCGGUUGGUUUCCACUGGUGAUGAAUAAAUAACGGGACAAAAGCAGCGUCGCGUCUGUCGCACAUAUCACAGCUGCUGUAUCGGGUAACCCAGGCGUCCACAAAUUUCACAAACUUGAUUUGGCUUUUCAGCAGAAUUACACACUUAUUUGUGUGAACGCACUUAUUGUAAUUUGUUAUGGAGCUUUCUGUAGGUGAAUCAGCUGCACUCCACAGCACUGAAUGAACCCACGUGGACUUAUUUGGCCUUAUUUUGACAUUCACUGUCAGCCUUUUUCAAAAAUUCGUUUUCCGUAGCGUUACAACUGACUUUCCUUUCUAGUCAUGUAAUGCAGAGAUUUCAAUUUCCCUUCUAUAUUUUCUGUCAGUUGUUUUCCUCCUCUCAUUUUGCAUUUUCCAUCACUGACUGACGGCCUCAGCUGCAGACGAGAGGAGAAAGCCAUCCGACAGCAGCAACCAACUCUAUCAUCUCCACUAGAGGGAGGGCUAUCUCACAACAAGGCCACCAAGGAGCUGCAUCUGAGGGUCAGCAUGUGGUGAGUCAGUAGAAGAGAGCCAGCGAGCGCCUGAUCUCCUCCGAGCGAGGCUUGUCAGCGUGGUCCUGAGUGGGCUGUGUGGAGCUUCUGUCAGAGAGUGUCACAUUUCCACGGCCCACACUGUGGCUCCUCUGUCCUCCUCAUGGCUGCAGCUCAAUGGGUCCUUUGAUGGGCCAACCCGAGGCCUUUCAUCAUGCAUCUCGCCACGGGGCACGGGGGCCAUGGGGGGUUGUGCCUCACAACACCUGGCAGACCGGAAAAGAACACGAUGAUGAGGGGCAGCGCUCAGACAUGGGGCAGUCACAAGACUGCGUAAGUACUUCAUCAAGUUGAUUAUAAGAAACUGUGAAUGUUAUAUUAAAAUCUGAU